rnacentral:rRNA from 1 species
GGUGGGCGGGGUGAGUAUCCCGAGGCGCGUGAGAGAACCCUGGUUAAGGAACUAGGCAAAAUAACACCGUAACUUCGGGAGAAGGUGUGCCGUUGAUGGUGAAGCCCUCCUCGGGCCGAGCUGUUGGCGGUUGCAGCGAAAUGGGGAUUGUGACUGUUUACUAAAAACAUAGGACUCUGCAAAGUCGAAAGACGACGUAUAGGGUCUGAUGCCUGCCCGGUGCUGGAAGGUUAAGGGGAAGUGUCAGCGCAAGCGAAGCACCCAACCGAAGCCCCAGUAAACGGCGGCCGUAACAAUAACGGUCCUAAGGUAGCGAAAUUCCUUGUCGGGUAAGUUCCGACCUGCACGAAUGGCAUAACAACAUUCCCGCUGUCUCAACCAGGGACUCAGCGAAAUUGCAUAGGGGGUGAAGAUGCCCUCUACCCGCGGCAAGACGGGAAGACCCCAUGAACCUUUACUGCAACUUGGCAGUGAACUUCGGGAUGUUCUGCGUAGGAUAGGUGGGAGGCGUUGAAGCCGGGCUUCCGGGUUCGGCAGAGCCACCGUUGAAAUACCACCCUGAACAUUCUGGGGUUCUAACCUAGGCCCGUGAUCCGGGUCGGGGACACUGCCUGGUAGGCAGUUUGACUGGGGCGGUCGCCUCCAAAAUCGUAACGGAGGCGUGCGAAGGUUCCCUCAGCCUGAUUGGAAACCAGGCGUAGAGUGCAAACGCAUAAGGGAGCUUGACUGUGAGACCGACAGGUCGAGCAGGUGCGAAAGCAGGUGUUAGUGAUCCGGUGGUUCCUGAUGGAAGGGCCAUCGCUCAACGGAUAAAAGGUACUCUGGGGAUAACAGGCUGAUCGCGCCUGAGAGUUCACAUCGGCGGCGCGGUUUGGCACCUCGAUGUCGGCUCAUCGCAUCCUGGGGCUGGAGCAGGUCCCAAGGGUUUGGCUGUUCGCCAAUUAAAGCGGUACGCGAGCUGGGUUUAGAACGUCGUGAGACAGUUCGGUCCCUAUCUGCCGUGGGCGUAGGACACUUGAGAGGAGUUGCCCAUAGUACGAGAGGACCUGGGUGAACGUACCCCUGGUGAUCCGGUUGUUCUGCCAAGAGCAUUGCCGGGUAGCUACGUACGGAACGGAUAACCGCUGAAAGCAUCUAAGCGGGAAGCCGGCCUCAAGACUAGGUGUCCCGUCGAAAGACCUAAAGGCUCCAUGUAGACCACGUGGUAAUAGGCUGGGUGUGAAAGCGUAGCAAUGCGCGGAGCUAACCAGUACUAAUAAGCCGUGAGGCUUGACCA